ensembl:lncRNA
UUGGAUCUUCAUUUUUUGACUAGGCUACCUGGAUUUUACAUUGUGUUGUUAUUUCGCUGAAAACUAGAUGGUUUCAUUUGAUUUUUGGCAGUGAAACGAGGCUACUCAGGAAGGAGAUACAGACAAGGCAGAACAUCUAAAAAGGAAGCUGAUAAAUCGGAGCAGGGUGACGGUUGGACUUCCUCCCCUCAGAGUGGAUUUCCCCUCCCUAACCUUGGGAAAGAGAUGCCACGUGCUCCACAGUUAGAGGUUCCACAUCUCUCUGACGAAGACCCUCUGCCAUGUUACCACCACCAACCUUCCACUGUGCCAGACUGCUGACUAGGUCAAGCCAACCAGGAGAGUAAUUGGGAGAGAAUAUCACUGCCCCAGCCAAUGCCAGACAGACAGACAGAUCAAGAUGACCUGGGAAAUCCAUUUGGGCAUUGGCUUACAUCACCUCUCCACACGGGAUCCAGUGAGGGGCCACAGGGAUGUGGAACAAUUGUUGCAGAUCAUGGAAUUCCCAUCGGUUGGAGCUUCCCGCCUGUUUCGUGGUGGAGCUAAAAGUAGCAUCUGCCAUCGUUCAGUCAGAGCAUCAAACUCUCCGAUUAGUUUCCUUCUCCUGACCCAUAAAGUUAGGGGAGCUGUGAAUGUUCUUCUCUCUGUACACUCACUGAGAUGUUUCACAUUGUGUAUAAACCCCAUGACAAACGGUAAGAUGGCGCUUGUCUGUUCUCUUUGAAGAGACUGUGUGGAGAUGGAUUGCACAGGCUCUGCUAUCUGACAGCUAGCUGGGCCUCUAAGUUCACAGUGUUACAGAAAAGCUGGAACAAGCGUGUGGACAUGGAGAAAACACACACUGAAAGACCAUCCCACAGAGAACUAGAAAGAUGUAGAAUGUACUGGAUGAAAUUUCCUAGUCUUUACAACUGACAUGGAGUCAGUCCAAGACACUCACCUUGAACUCUAAAUGGUACACUUCUGUUGUUCCUCUCAUUACCAUUCCUGUCAAGUCCUGUGUUCAUACUGGGAUUAGUACAUAGUUCUCACACCCAUAGGCGGAUGUCAUGAGCAAGACAUAGGUCAAAAGGUUGAAUGUUGUCUGUGUUGUAGGGGUACGGUGUUUAAAAAUGAUUUCUGUCAGAUGUCUGUCUACCUGCUGAAAUCCAAGUUCAGAAGACGUUGCUCUGCUCAGAAUGUAGCAGUUGAGGCAACACUCCCAAAGCAGUACAAAUGUAACAUUUGUUGUGGAGAAAAUAAAUCUGAGCUGUCCGAUACAUUUUAUGCAUAUUGUUGUUCAAAUUUCAGUGAUACAUUUCUGUAGACAAUGAGCAAAAAGCAUCCCUCAAUCGUACAGAGUGCACCUUUCACCAUACCAAGGGUACACACCAAUAACGACCCCAGGUGGCUAAGCAACACACAAACCAGUCCUUCAUUAACCAGUCACUAAGGUUGCUGAGGUGGCAAGUCGCUAAGGUCUGAACUCCAGCUCAAAGGUCAUGCCACAUGACAGCUGCAUUUCCUACAUGUUUUCACAGGUUCUCUAAUCACUGUAGAUUGACAACAGCACAGACGGUCCCAUUCAACCUCCCUGCCUGCCUCUCCCUCAGAUGCCUAGAUUAAACAAACACCCGUGGCCCGUCCUCACAGUCCUGAGUUGCAGCUCCC